GAAACCCGGUGAUCUAGCCAUGGGCAGGUUGAAGGUUGGGUAACACUAACUGGAGGACCGAACCGACUAAUGUUGAAAAAUUAGCGGAUGACUUGUGGCUGGGGGUGAAAGGCCAAUCAAACCGGGAGAUAGCUGGUUCUCCCCGAAAGCUAUUUAGGUAGCGCCUCGUGAAUUCAUCUCCGGGGGUAGAGCACUGUUUCGGCAAGGGGGUCAUCCCGACUUACCAACCCGAUGCAAACUGCGAAUACCGGAGAAUGUUAUCACGGGAGACACACGGCGGGUGCUAACGUCCGUCGUGAAGAGGGAAACAACCCAGACCGCCAGCUAAGGUCCCAAAGUCAUGGUUAAGUGGGAAACGAUGUGGGAAGGCCCAGACAGCCAGGAUGUUGGCUUAGAAGCAGCCAUCAUUUAAAGAAAGCGUAAUAGCUCACUGGUCGAGUCGGCCUGCGCGGAAGAUGUAACGGGGCUAAACCAUGCACCGAAGCUGCGGCAGCGACACUAUGUGUUGUUGGGUAGGGGAGCGUUCUGUAAGCCUGUGAAGGUGGCCUGUGAGGGUUGCUGGAGGUAUCAGAAGUGCGAAUGCUGACAUAAGUAACGAUAAAGCGGGUGAAAAGCCCGCUCGCCGGAAGACCAAGGGUUCCUGUCCAACGUUAAUCGGGGCAGGGUGAGUCGACCCCUAAGGCGAGGCCGAAAGGCGUAGUCGAUGGGAAACAGGUUAAUAUUCCUGUACUUGGUGUUACUGCGAAGGGGGGACGGAGAAGGCUAUGUUGGCCGGGCGACGGUUGUCCCGGUUUAAGCGUGUAGGCUGGUUUUCCAGGCAAAUCCGGAAAACCAAGGCUGAGGCGUGAUGACGAGGCACUACGGUGCUGAAGCGACAAAUGCCCUGCUUCCAGGAAAAGCCUCUAAGCAUCAGGUAACAUCAAAUCGUACCCCAAACCGACACAGGUGGUCAGGUAGAGAAUACCAAGGCGCUUGAGAGAACUCGGGUGAAGGAACUAGGCAAAAUGGUGCCGUAACUUCGGGAGAAGGCACGCUGAUAUGUAGGUGAAGCGACUUGCUCGUGGAGCUGAAAUCAGUCGAAGAUACCAGCUGGCUGCAACUGUUUAUUAAAAACACAGCACUGUGCAAACACGAAAGUGGACGUAUACGGUGUGACGCCUGCCCGGUGCCGGAAGGUUAAUUGAUGGGGUUAGCGGCAACGCGAAGCUCUUGAUCGAAGCCCCGGUAAACGGCGGCCGUAACUAUAACGGUCCUAAGGUAGCGAAAUUCCUUGUCGGGUAAGUUCCGACCUGCACGAAUGGCGUAAUGAUGGCCAGGCUGUCUCCACCCGAGACUCAGUGAAAUUGAACUCGCUGUGAAGAUGCAGUGUACCCGCGGCAAGACGGAAAGACCCCGUGAACCUUUACUAUAGCUUGACACUGAACAUUGAGCCUUGAUGUGUAGGAUAGGUGGGAGGCUUUGAAGUGUGGACGCCAGUCUGCAUGGAGCCGACCUUGAAAUACCACCCUUUAAUGUUUGAUGUUCUAACGUUGGCCCGUAAUCCGGGUUGCGGACAGUGUCUGGUGGGUAGUUUGACUGGGGCGGUCUCCUCCUAAAGAGUAACGGAGGAGCACGAAGGUUGGCUAAUCCUGGUCGGACAUCAGGAGGUUAGUGCAAUGGCAUAAGCCAGCUUGACUGCGAGCGUGACGGCGCGAGCAGGUGCGAAAGCAGGUCAUAGUGAUCCGGUGGUUCUGAAUGGAAGGGCCAUCGCUCAACGGAUAAAAGGUACUCCGGGGAUAACAGGCUGAUACCGCCCAAGAGUUCAUAUCGACGGCGGUGUUUGGCACCUCGAUGUCGGCUCAUCACAUCCUGGGGCUGAAGUAGGUCCCAAGGGUAUGGCUGUUCGCCAUUUAAAGUGGUACGCGAGCUGGGUUUAGAACGUCGUGAGACAGUUCGGUCCCUAUCUGCCGUGGGCGCUGGAGAACUGAGGGGGGCUGCUCCUAGUACGAGAGGACCGGAGUGGACGCAUCACUGGUGUUCGGGUUGUCAUGCCAAUGGCACUGCCCGGUAGCUAAAUGCGGAAGAGAUAAGUGCUGAAAGCAUCUAAGCACGAAACUUGCC
rnacentral:rRNA from 1 species